AAAUAAAUAAAUAAAGAUAUAAAAUCUUAAGGAUGAAAAAAAUAUAGAUUCUAGGUCUCUUUCAGACAUACCAUCACACGUAUCUGAAAUUAAUAUGGACCCCUCCCUUUGCAGAUCCUGUCUGGUGGUUUUAUAGGUGGAGAAUCUCAAUCAUUGGGAGGACUCAAUCCUUCUAAGACUGAGAGGCACAUCUGUUCUCAAUAAUUGUUGGAACUCUGGUUUCUCAUCUGUAGGAUUCACCAACUCUGGGCACUCACCCACUCUAUGGGCACCUCAGAGGCGUACUCUCUGAAAGAGAGUAAUGGCUGAAAGAGACUUAAUGGCUGAGUAGUUUAGAGUUUGGUUCCCUGAGGCACAUUUGCACAUGCCCCCAUCCAGGUGGGGAGCUUUGGAACCAUCAGUUACAGUUAGGGAGUGGGACUGGUAUCAGCUGUUUCCCAUGCACCACCCAGAUCCAAAAUAAUUUCUAGAGUUUGCUCUCCCCCACAUUUAAGUUCUAGAUAAGACUCCAAUUUAGAAUUUUAUUCUUUAUUUGGAGUAAUGUUUAUUUUCUUGUCACUGCAUGGAAAUUCAAAUAUUAAUAAUAGAAGUUAUCUUGAUACAUAUUUGUAAGGGAAAUGGCUUCCCUUUAGUCAGGAGUAGGCCGAGGUGGACUUCCAGCACAGCAUGACUUAGCAUGUUUGGAGCACAGGUGCACAAUCCUGCACAUUAUGUAACCACCUCAUGUGAGGUGCAUUAGGUAACUAGCCACAUGAGUUCAUGUUUGGCUCAGAGCCACUACUGUCUGUAAAAGGUAAAACUACCCUGCUGAUGUGUACAUAUGGCUCAUUCAUUCCCAGAAAGAGAAUAAAGCCAUGUAAAACUAACUACAAUUCCUUGAGUGUUUUUCCAGCUACUUGCCAUUUGCCCACCCACUCCCCUCGGAUCUCAGUUAGAACAUGACCAUCGGCCUCAUGAACAGGAUCCUGAGGUGAGUGAGCCUUUGGUCCCCACUGAUUCCAGGUUGGCCAUGAGGCCACAGCAUGGGUCGUGGUACCUGGUGGCAGCUGUAUUGUUUGGAUGGGGUUUGGUGGAAACCUGGGUGGCAGAAGAUGGGUCCCCCACAAGCAUGGAAAAAGCGCUGAAGCUGCUGGAAGCACAGAGCACCGAGAAGGAGUGAACUUUUGUUGGUGGAGUUGGAUGGGCAUUUUGUGCUAUGAGAAGUACACACCCAGUCCCUGAGGGAUGCAGUGCAGGUAAGGGCCCUUCAGGCACAGGUGGGGCACCUGGAAACCCAGCUACAGAGCUUGGAAAAGGCAUUAGAGGCUGUUGUGAAUAUAGGCCUGGGUCUAUUGUCUCAGCUGGAGAUCCCCACUCGGUCUGAUACAGAGAAAGAAGAACUCCUGUUGUGGGCUUGCCCAGUGGUCCAUCAGAAGGUAGAUCAUGAACAGCCGUUGGGGCCCCAAGGGAAGGCUCAGGGACCCGCCCCCCCCCCACCAUAAUGCAACAUACUUCAUAUACUGCCUACACCCCAAAUGAGUUGUGGGAAUUAGGCAGGCAGUGCCACCAGCAUCCAGGGGAACCUCUGCCUGCCCGGAUGCUUCAUUUAUGAGACAAGAGAGCAGAAAGUAUCUCCUGUUCUUCCUCUGAGAUGGAAAAGCUGGCCUCUAUCACAACUCACCCCUCCCUCUGUCAGUGGUUGCAGGUGAGCAGGCAGUUGGCACAAGGACAAAGUGACCACAUCCUGACUGAGUGGCUAUGGGCAGCCAUACAGACUGUGGAACAAUGCUGGUGAAACACCUGAAACCAUUUAGAAGCAGCAAUGCCUCUCUUGCCUGGGAUUGGGAUGGUGUGGCUGAGACCACCUUACUGGCAGCCAGAAGAAAAAAGGAAAAGAAAAAAACAUCUUGCGAAGUAGACAAGAACCACUUUAUUUCAAGCAGUCGGGGUAGUCAUCUGGUUAGACACAGACGACCAGGCAGGAUGAGCUCUUUGGACUCUUCUAACUCUAUGUUACAUGGCUCAAGUGCCAAAAGAUACCUCUUCACGUGAUGUUCUUCCACUGAUAGCGAGAACUUUUCUCAAGAAAUGUAAGUAAUUCUGAAGUACAACAGAUCUCCAAUUCUUUAUAAGAAACAGAUUUUUUAGAUAGAGAUAAUUAAUUUCAUAUUUUCCAUCUAUUUGUUGCUAUUUUCCCCGAGCCUUUAUUUGUUUUCAUUUUAAUUCUCCACAAAUUCUUUGGUGGAAAACUGCAAUUACAUUUAACUACAGAGAGGUAGUUAGAUGAUGUAUGUAUAGAUUUUAUGUUUUAAUGAUUCUUUUAUCCUCUUAUGAAAUCAGUUAUGUAUCUCUAUUCAACUGGUCUAAUAACCGAGGUCAGUUCAGUUAGGCUGUAAUGUUAAAACAACCAAAACCACAUUAUAUUGAAUACUUCUCAUUAACAACAUGAUUGCCUUUUGUCUGUAUUUUAUUCCUUUUAACACAAAACACACAAUACACAAAUAAUAUCUAACAUUCCCAAUUAGAAGAAUAAUUUUGAGUGGCAUCGAAUUAAGAAAGAACAAUCUAGGUGGAGAUUUAGCAGUAGCAACCUGCAAACUUCCCUCAUGCAAUUUGGCACUAAUGAGGAUGUAUACUUACUAUGUGUUCUGAUCUCCAAGAGCAAUCCCAUCCUAGGAGUGAUUCUGUGGCUUUACCUCCACAGCCAUAAUGAACUAGGGAGUGAGAUAAUUUUAUGAGUCCUGAUUACUCAAAACUCAUCAGUGGUUGGGUUUUAUUUCUCUGUUCAAAUUGACCACUUUUCUUUCUACUUGUGCAGAUGCUUUGCCCUGUUCUUUUCAUUCAACACCCAUUCCUUUCACCCACACUACAAAUAUAGCAGAUUUCUUCUCUUUGGCAGUGGCAGAAUUUUUUUAUCAGAGAAACUUAUGAACAGCAGUCUGCUUGGAACUGGGAAUGGUAAGGACAAAACACUCUGUUUUAGUUGUAUGUUAAUUGAAGGUAGGUUUAUUGGGGUGAUUGAGCUUAUGUUGGAGGAUGCUGAAGUAAGAUUCCUGAAAUCAAGCUAGAAAUAAAUAUUCCUGAAGAGGAAUCAUAUCAUACUUUGAGGUGACACUACUGGGGUAGACUAUAACUAAAGCUAGGGUUACAGACAAAGGAAAAGAGCAUGGAGUAUGGUUGAUGGGAAGCACAGGAUUCUAGUAAAUAUCUCUGAGUAAGGCGCACCCUUUGCGAGAUAAUGUUGCCCAUCAAUACUACAACUGGGUACUAGACAAGGGAGAUAUCACAAAUAAGGAAUUCUAAGCUUCAGUACUGAGAAACAUAUCUACUUGAGUUUCUUUCUAACAUUAUCCUAAGGAUCUGCCACGAAACUGAUGUGCUACAAGGUCCUCUACCCAUUUCUAGUAAUGACAUGCAAAUCUUUAUAUGGUUUCCAAGGUGCUUCCAAAAUCAUGCUGCAUAAUUGACACUAAAAUAGAAGCUUCCAGUGUUAGAGGGAAAUGAAGAGAAGAGGUGCCCUUUCUAUAUCCCUUUUUCACAUGGUUUCCUUCAGUAUGAUAGCUUCACCAUUAAGAUGCUGAAAAUGUGCUGCUUUCCUUUCACUUUGCUUGAAUAUUUCUCUUGCAAUGUGUUCAGAUCUGUGGCCUAGAAGAUAUGUCAUAGGUCCAGCCUGCCUUUCUUUACCUUUUAAGAGGCAAUAUGAUAUAAGAGAAAUAUGUCCUUGGACUGAAAAUCAGCAGUACUAAUUACCAGUCCUACUUCUACUAUUUUUUAAAUGUGUAACUUCAAACAAGGCACUUUUACCACUUUAAGCUCCAUUUAUAAAAUGGGAGAGUUAACUAAUUCUCUGGUUUGCCAAGGUUUUUUUUUUUUUCUUUUUUUCCUUUUUGGAUUAGAAUCCUUAUUUGCAAGUGGAAUUUUAUUUUUAAAAACCCUAACGUAUAAAACAGAGCAAAGUGGAAUUCCUUAAUUUGAAGAGGGUGGGUGGCAUGUGGAGCCCUGUUUGUUUGAUCCCAUGCUCUCCUCUCCCCUUCCACCGUGUUAGCCUCUGAAUCUCUUCUGUGGAACCCAGGAGAUGCAAACCCAUUUUUAAAAGCACAACUCUAGAUGAGCCUUUUGAGUCCUAAAUUCUGUGAUUCAACAAUAAGUUACCUCACUCUUCUCUGCUUGGAUGCAGAGCAUCUGGCUCAAUUUCAGUUAGUGUGUGUAAUGUCAGAGAAAGGGAAAGUCAGGAAGUACAAACUUUGCAAAAAAGAAAAACACAGCCAGCAGAAAAUAGACUUCAAAUCUAUGUAGGGAUGUUUGUUAAAUUGGUUUGAAUUCCACUGUUACAUCUGCUGGCAUCACUUACUGGAUUUGGAUCUAUAAACCUAGCUUUGUGGAGUUGAAGCUCUCUCUCAAUGUGACAACCUCUCCCUACAGACUCAGACUUGUUCCAGUUCCCUAGCCCUCCUCAAUGGAGGAGGAACCCACACUGAUAAACCUGCCUUGCCCCUACCUGCCAUUUCAUCUUGCAACCUCGAGAACUGUCACCCAGAAUCCAGUGACAUAACCAAUGCCCAUGUGUCUCCACAGGUCUUCUCUAUGGCCAGCCAAAUAAAGGGUCAAAAGCAGUAUGAGGUGGGCGGAUCAUUUGAGGUCAAGAGUUUGAAACCAGCCUGGCCAAGAUGAUGAAACCCCAUCU